CUUGAAGUGUGCUUCAGAUCAGUUGGUUCAGGUUCAAGGAUAUCUUGUGAUAAAGAUAUACCAUCACACUCUCUGAGUAAAACAUAAAUAGGUUCAAUUUGUUCAUUAAAUUUUGCCAGUAAAGUCCGAGCAUCUUUCUGCAUAACGGCACUUUCGUCUUCUACAACCUCUUCACUACAGUAUGUACAGAUAAACUUUUGCGUACUCAAAUCAAAUAACUGGUCCACUUCCAAAUCAGUGAAAGUUUUCUCACAUCCAGGGCAUUUAAACGAUGCUCGACUUGUAUUGUCUCUCUCCUCCAUUUCUAUUUUUCGUCGAACAUGAUCCAGUUUAUAUUUGACAACGUUUACAAACAUUAAAUAAUUGAUAAAAUAAUAAUUAUGGCGCGUCAUUUUACCUUCUGUAUCUGUCUCCACUCUCAUACGGAAUUUCAAAAAUUUCUCACUUUUCAGAGUGUUUAUAUAAGACCUUAACUGUUUCCUAUCAUACUUCAAUAGUUCGAUGAUGUCAUCUUCCUUCAUACAUGGAUUACGUACCAAUAAGUCAAUAACAAUGGCGUGCUCUAUACUAUAAAAACCACGGGUUACGAGUCUUAUCAAACGUUUUAAUGACUCUGGCACUUCUGUCAACACUUCUGGUUCCAUCUUACACUAAAAUGGAUGGCUUUCAGUUAUACAUGUGCUUCU
rnacentral:lncRNA from 1 species